UACAGAGGUCCCGAGCGUUGUUCGGAUUCACUGGGCGUAAAGGGUGCGUAGGCGGUCGGAUAAGUUUGAUGUGAAAUCUCCGGGCUUAACCCGGAAACUGCAUUGAAUACUAUCCUGCUCGAGGGUUGAAGGGGGGACUGGAAUUCUCGGUGUAGCAGUGAAAUGCGUAGAUAUCGAGAGGAACACCAGUGGCGAAGGCGAGUCCCUGGACAACUCCUGACACUGAGGCACGAAAGCUAGGGGAGCAAACAGG
rnacentral:rRNA from 1 species